CCCUUUAAAUGUCAUUGGUAAAACAUGAAUUACAACUCUUGUGACAAAUGUGAAGGGGGAGGAGAAUUUAUACGUCAAGUAUUCCACAAAAACCUCCUUCAAGCAUCCUCAGUAAGCGUUCUCCAUCAUUGAUCUUCCCCUCCUCACGGUGCAAUUUUACAAUUGAUAUGUCCUUCAUCAUGGGCAACUUGGUGAUUGUGUGAAAUAUUGUGUAAUAAAUAAAUAUUGGUGAUUUGUUCCCUCAGAAUGAAGAAGUGCAGUUCCUUGAGAGUGAGCUGCAAAACCAGAAACAGAAGUUCUCAAAGCUGAAGAGCUUCACCAAAAACCUGCUGAUCGCUGUGAAAAACAAAGACAGAAAGAAACAGCAGGAGCUGUUAGCCAGUCUACCUCAGAAAGUGAACGAGGACUGGGACCUGGGCCUGGAAAAUCACAGCAUGUCCAGCAUAGAGACGCCCCCCAUCCAGAAAGAGUCCUCUGUAUCAGAGGAGGAGGGGGACACCGAUCAAAUCAGACUAUAAAUGCAGGGCAGCUUCCACCUCUUCUGUUACUCACAUGUGCCACAUAGUGCCUGUGGAAACGAACCAAUAACUGUUGGAUCCUACAAAUCAUUUUCUAUAGCAUAUCAGACUGCCUUGGCCAGGUCCAGUACUAUCAAAUAAACGCCACUGAGUCAACUCAA